GAAUUUUAUAUAAAUUUGUUAAGUAAAUUAAUAUUAAAUUAUAAUGAUAAAUUUAUAUUUUGUUGGGAGGAUGAUUAAAUUAAAAAAACUUUAAUAAAAUUAUUAAGUCAUUAAUUUAUGAAAUAGUUUGGAAUGGCAUUUAAGUUUGACUAGAAUUAAUUACCUUAGGGAUAACAGCGUAAUAUCUUUAGAGAGAUCUUAUUGAUAAAGAUGAUUGU
rnacentral:rRNA from 1 species